GUGACUUUUAAAUGAAAUUCUAGUAGGUGUUUAAAGGUUGUUAGUGGAUAAGUUGAGCUUUAUUGUGGCUCCAACUGUAGCACACGUAUAUUGAUGACAGAAUGAAGGACACUAUAAAUUGUACAGUGUGAGAGGCGGCCGAUGUCUGCAGCACACGGGAUUCAGGAGCACGCUCUUGGUCACUCUUUGUGUUGCAGAAACUGUGGCUGUCCUGGCAGCAUCCCAUCCUUCUUUCACCAAGGGGGGCAAAAGGAGUGUCCAGGAUGCAUCUCUAAAGGUCUGCUUCCACUUCUCACCAAGGCAUGGUGCACUGCUGAAACUGAAGGAAAAUUUUUAAAGAUUUAGCCUGUAAUUUCUGAAACUGUUUAAAGUAACGUUGUAUGGAAACUGACUUUCUUAAUGCAAUUUGUCUACUUUUUCUCCAAACAUCACAGAAGAGAAUUAAAAUU
rnacentral:lncRNA from 1 species